rnacentral:rRNA from 1 species
AGAGCGCAAGGGGAAUGCCUUGGCAUCAGGAGCCGACGAAGGACGUGACAAGCUGCGAUAAGCUUCGGGGAGGAGCAAAUAUCCUAUGAUCCGGAGAUUUCCGAAUGGGGAAACCCACUGGAGCAAUACUCCAGUAACGUGCAUUGAAUCAAAUAGGUGUACGUGGGGAACCGCCUGAACUGAAACAUCUAAGUAGGGCGAGGAAAAGACAUCAACCGAGAUUCCGCUAGUAGUGGCGAGCGAACGCGGAGGAGGCCAAACCGAGGGACGCAAGUUCUUCGGGGUUGCGGACAGACAUCAUGACCAGAGGAAAUUAAGAGAACGGCGUGGGAAAGCCGGCCACAGAAGGUGAGAGCCCUGUAUCUGAAAAUGAAGACUGGCAGUCUGGAUCCAGAGUACCGCGGGACACGUGAAACCCCGUGGGAAACCGGGUGGACCACCAUCCAAGCCUAAAUACUACCUGAUGACCGAUAGAGGAGCAGUACCGUGAGGGAAAGGUGAAAAGGACCCCGGGAGGGGAGUGAAAGAGAACCUGAAACCUUGUGCUUACAAGCACUCAAAGCACGUUAAGGUGUGAUGAGGUACUUUUUGUAGAACGGUCCGGCGAGUUAUAGUAACGAGCAAGCUUAAGGUAUUGAGUACCGGAGGCGAAGCGAGAGCGAGUCUGAAUAGGGCGUAAAGUUCGUUGCCAUAGACCCGAAACCGGGUGACCUAUCCAUGAGCAGGCUGAAGUGAGAGUAAAAUCUCAUGGAGGGCCGAACCGACCCCCGUUGCAAUGGUGGCGGAUGACUUGUGGAUAGCGGAGAAAUUCCAAUCGAACUCGGAGAUAGCUGGUUCUCCCCGAAAUAGCUUUAGGGCUAGCGUUAUGUUAGAUUACCGGAGGUAAAGCACUGAAUGGUGGCGGGGCCGAUAAGGUUACCAAGACCUAUCAAACUCUGAAUGCCGGAUAAUUGAUGCAUAGCAGUCAGACAGCGUGAGAUAAGUUUCGUUGUCAAAAGGGAAACAGCCCAGACCCACAGCUAAGGUCCCAAAUUCAUGCUAAGUGGAAAACGAUGUGGAAUUGCGAAAACAACCAGGAUGUUGGCUUAGAAGCAGCCACUCAUUAAAAGAGUGCGUAAUAGCUCACUGGUCGAGUGACUCUGCGCGGAAAAUAUAACGGGGCUAAGCAUGCAACCGAAGCUUGGGAUUGUCUAAAGACAGUGGUAGGGGAGCGUCGUGUAUGGGGUGAAGUCGCAUCGGAAGGAGCGGUGGACUGUACACGAGUGAGAAUGCCGGAAUGAGUAGCGAGAAUUAUGUGGGAAUCAUAAUGGCCGAAAAUCUAAGGUUUCUUGGGGAAGGUUCGUCCGCCCAAGGUAAGCCGGGAGCUAAGGCGAGGCCGCAAGGCGUAGUCGAUGCACAUACGGUAAAGAUUCCGUAGCCGCCGAACUUUAAGUCAGAGGGACACUUGCAGAUAGCGGAACCCAGCCGUUGGUUGAGCUGGGCGAAAGGGACUGAAAUUAGUAGGGAAGUCCGCGAUGCUGAAAGGCGAGAAAAGCUCUGAUGGAUACUAAGGCGCCCGUACCGCAAACCGACACAGGUAGAUGAGGAGAGAAUCCUAAGGCCAACGGGAGAAGGGUUGUUAAGGAACUCGGCAAAUUGACCCCGUAACUUCGGAAGAAGGGGAGCCCCCUACGGGGGGUCGCAGAGAAAUGACCCAAGCAACUGUUUACCAAAAACACAGGUCUAUGCUAAAUCGAAAGAUGACGUAUAUGGGCUGACGCCUGCCCGGUGCCGGAAGGUUAAGAGGAGAUGUCAGGCAACGAAGCAUUGAAUUUAAGCCCCGGUAAACGGCGGCCGUAACUAUAACGGUCCUAAGGUAGCGAAAUUCCUUGUCAGGUAAGUUCUGACCCGCACGAAUGGCGUAAUGAUUUGGGCACUGUCUCAACAGCCCGCCCGGCGAAAUUGUAGUACUGGUGAAGAUGCCAGUUACCCGCAACUAGACGGAAAGACCCCAUGGAGCUUUACUGCAGCUUAAUACUGAAAUUCGGUAGUACAUGUACAGGAUAGGUGGGAGACUGAGAAAUACAGGCGUCAGCUUGUAUGGAGUCGCUGUUGGGAUACCACUCUUGUACUGCUGGGUUUCUAACCUGCGGCCGUGAAUCCGGUCGGGGGACACUGUUAGGCGGGCAGUUUGACUGGGGCGGUCGCCUCCCAAAAGGUAACGGAGGCGCUCAAAGGUUCGUUCAGCACGGACGGAAAUCGUGCAAUGAGUGUAAACGCAUAAACGAGCCUAACUGCGACACCGACGGGUGGAGCAGUAACGAAAGUUGGAGUUAGUGAUCCGGUGGUAUGUGAGUGGAAAUGCCA